CCAUGCCUGAGUCCCUGACUCCAGACCAAGGAAUCUCUGAUACAGCAGGAAUAAAGUUCCUUAAUUUCCCCUGCUUUUAAAGAAUUGGAUGAAAUCUUAAGCUUAGCACAUCUAAUAGAAGUAGACCAUCAAGAGCAAGAAACAGAAAACUGAACCCCAUUUGAACUUGCUUCUCCUUAAGUCCUGUCCAAGACACAAAAGGAACAAAAAUGGCAUUGAGAUCCUGGCUGCUUAUGUCCAAGAUGAAGCUAGGACCUUCAGAAGCAAGCUCAAGAGAUGAUGAAUGAAGGAAGGUGGAGCUCCGAAGACCAUGAAGACAACAGCUCUUCGGUGUUAAAGCCACAAGACCAAGAGCAGACACAGCAUCCAGAAGAAAACCUCUAUUGGCAAGCACAAGACAGUGAUCACAGAUGUGGCCCCAGACGACGGAAGGACAGGAGUGCAGCACGCUGAAAUGUCGGAAUACUACACGCCUGCAAUUGCCUUUCCCUCUGGCAUUUAAUGAGAAAUAAAAAGCACAUGUGAA
rnacentral:lncRNA from 10 species